CGGGGCUUGGCGCAGUCUGAUGAGCGCAUCUCGUUUGGGACGAGAGGGUCGAAGGUUCGAAUCCUUCAGCACCGACCA
rnacentral:tRNA from 1 species